AUUGAACGCUGGCGGCAGGCCUAACACAUGCAAGUCGAACGGUAACAGGAAACAGCUUGCUGUUUCGCUGACGAGUGGCGGACGGGUGAGUAAUGUCUGGGAAACUGCCUGAUGGAGGGGGAUAACUACUGGAAACGGUAGCUAAUACCGCAUAACGUCGCAAGACCAAAGAGGGGGACCUCGGGCCUCUUGCCAUCGGAUGUGCCCAGAUGGGAUUAGCUUGUUGGUGGGGUAACGGCUCACCAAGGCGACGAUCCCUAGCUGGUCUGAGAGGAUGACCAGCCACACUGGAACUGAGACACGGUCCAGACUCCUACGGGAGGCAGCAGUGGGGAAUAUUGCACAAUGGGCGCAAGCCUGAUGCAGCCAUGCCGCGUGUAUGAAGAAGGCCUUCGGGAUGUAAAGUACUUUCAGCGGGGAGGAAGGGAGUAAAGUUAAUACCUUUGCUCAUUGACGUUACCCGCAGAAGAAGCACCGGCUAACUCCGUG
rnacentral:rRNA from 1 species